CGCGGGGCAACCUGGCGGCGAGUGGCGAACGGGUGAGUAAUAUAUCGGAACGUACCCAAGAGUGGGGGAUAACGUAGCGAAAGUUACGCUAAUACCGCAUACGAUCUAAGGAUGAAAGCAGGGGAUCUUCGGACCUUGUGCUCCUGGAGCGGCCGAUAUCUGAUUAGCUAGUUGGUGAGGUAAAGGCUCACCAAGGCCACGAUCAGUAGCUGGUCUGAGAGGACGACCAGCCACACUGGAACUGAGACACGGUCCAGACUCCUACGGGAGGCAGCAGUGGGGAAUUUUGGACAAUGGGCGAAAGCCUGAUCCAGCAAUGCCGCGUGAGUGAAGAAGGCCUUCGGGUUGUAAAGCUCUUUUGUCAGGGAAGAAACGGUGAGGGCUAAUAUCCUUCGCUAAUGACGGUACCUGAAGAAUAAGCACCGGCUAACUACGUGCCAGCAGCCGCGGUAAUACGUAGGGUGCAAGCGUUAAUCGGAAUUACUGGGCGUAAAGCGUGCGCAGGCGGUUUUGUAAGUCUGACGUGAAAUCCCCGGGCUCAACCUGGGAAUUGCGUUGGAGACUGCAAGGCUAGAAUCUGGCAGAGGGGGGUAGAAUUCCACGUGUAGCAGUGAAAUGCGUAGAGAUGUG
rnacentral:rRNA from 2 species